rnacentral:rRNA from 1 species
AGAGUUUGAUCCUGGCUCAGGAUGAACGCUAGCUACAGGCUUAACACAUGCAAGUCAGGGAACGAUUAGCGGUGCUUGCACCACUAAGGCGUCGACCGGCGCACGGGUGAGUAACGCGUAUCCAACCUGGCCCGAGGUAAGGGAUAAUCCGUAGAAAUGCGGUCUAAUACCUUAUAUGUUCCGAAGAGGACAUCUGAUUUGGAUAAAGAUUUAUCGCCUUGGGAUGGGGAUGCGUCUGAUUAGAUUGUUGGCGGGGCAACGGCCCACCAAGUCAUCGAUCAGUAGGGGUUCUGAGAGGAAAGUCCCCCACAUUGGAACUGAGACACGGUCCAAACUCCUACGGGAGGCAGCAGUGAGGAAUAUUGGUCAAUGGGCGAGAGCCUGAACCAGCCAAGUAGCGUGCAGGAUGACGGCCCUAUGGGUUGUAAACUGCUUUUGUACGGGGAUAAAGGAGCCCACGUGUGGACUUUUGCAGGUACCGUACGAAUAAGGACCGGCUAAUUCCGUGCC